rnacentral:rRNA from 1 species
UACGUAGGUGGCAAGCGUUGUCCGGAAUUAUUGGGCGUAAAGCGCGCGCAGGCGGUCCUUUAAGUCUGAUGUGAAAGCCCACGGCUCAACCGUGGAGGGUCAUUGGAAACUGGGGGACUUGAGUACAGAAGAGGAAAGCGGAAUUCCACGUGUAGCGGUGAAAUGCGUAGAGAUGUGGAGGAACACCGGUGGCGAAGGCGGCCAACUGGACGAGUACUGACGCUGAGACACGAAAGCUAGGGGAGCAAACGGG